rnacentral:misc_RNA from 1 species
GAUGAAGAACGUAGCGAAAUGCGAUAAGUAAUGUGAAUUGCAGAAUUCAGUGAAUCAUCGAAUCUUUGAACGCACAUUGCGCCCCUUGGUAUUCCGAGGGGCAUGCCUGUUCGAGCGUCAUUAUAACCCCUCAAGCUCAGCUUGGUGUUGGGGCCUGCUGCACUGGCAGCCCUUAAAAUCAGUGGCGGCGCCAUCUGGCUCUAAGCGUAGUAAUUCUUCUCGCUAUGGAGUCCUGGUGGAUGCUUGCCAUCAACCCCCAAUUUUUCUAUGGUUGACCUCGGAUCAGGUAGGGAUACCCGCUGAACUUAAGCAUAUCAAUAAGCGGACGA